ACGGGUAUUACUGAUUGUAAGGAAUAACUGAAUCACUAGUAUCCGGUUAUCAAAAUUUCACCUGAAAAUCAGAAAUUGAAAUGUAUAUGGAAAGACACAAGCUUUGAUGUUUAGAACUGAAUAACUACAUAAGUCCCAGUAAUACUCUGUAUUUAUUUAAGGAUUGAUAGAUAAAAUUAUUUUAAGAAAUCAUUGACUUGUUCCCAGUGCUAGGAUUUUUCUUUCAGUGUCAACAGUGAGCAAAAAUAUCAGAAAAGCAAAAGUUUAUGAUGAAUAAAAAAUACGCUUGUUACUUCAAAAAAGUGAUUAAUAAAUAUAUUGAUGAUGUGCAUGGAAGUAGUUGUAGAUAAAAAGGGAAUUUAGAUUAACUAAAAAAAACAACAACAGCUGUUAACAUAAAAAUGGGAAAUAAUUCAAUCAAGAACUUUUUAUUUAUGAAGUGUUUGGGAAUUUUGGUGCUUUUACUAAAUGUGUGUUCAGUCUCACUGGAGAAGUUUGAUGAAUCUCAGAUGAAGCAGAUAGCGGCCACAUUUAAACAGGAGUUAGAUUCUCAUAUUGAUAAAGUUCUUGCUUACGGACAAAUUGAACAAAAGCUUCAAGAGUUUGAAACCCAUCUUGUUCAUGGUCCAAUAAAUGGUGAGGAUAUUUUUAAUGAAAUCUUUCAGAAUGUGAGUUUGAGAUAUAAUGGCGUGGUUUUAGCUGCAAAUCGAUUAAAACAAGUGCUUGAAAAAGAUGUUGGCUUGUUGGAUAAUGUGGAUAGUACUGGAGCUCCGCCACCUGGCGGAGGGCCUCCACCAGUGCCACUAACAAAGUGUUGUUGUGAACCAAGUCCAGGAGUUUUUGAUGCAAGGUUACGUGAUAGGGUGAAAGCUAAAGAAUGUUACGGGAGCCAGGAUGCUUUACUCGAGUCGCUGGGUAAAACUGGAUUUGUUCAUAAACUCAAGGAGAACUAUAAGGGGUUGCGAGGUGUGACGUGGCAGUAUUUUGCAGACUCUGCUGGACAUUAUGUCCAGUACCCCACCAGUAACAGGGCUUGUGAUAGAAGUGCUCCGCCCUUGCUUGGCUCCUGCAGUAAACUUGACAGCCCUCUUACCAAGGAAUGGUUUGUUGAGAAAUUGCGCAUGGAACAUAAAAACUUAGUUAUUUUAAUGGAUAACAGUAUGAAGCGGGACCCUUCCGUACCACCAGUGGCUGAGAGUGUGAUAGUUGAAGCUGUUGUCAAGAUACUGGAUACACUGACUCCUAGUGAUAAGGUAAAUGUGGUAGCAUUCCCAUCGAGCACAUCAGAAACUGUGGAGGUACCAACCAGAUGUAGUAGGGCACUGUUUGUUGCCUCACAGGCAAAUCUCAAUAACCUUAAAGUGUACACAAAACAGUUAACACCAGGGACAGGUGAGCCAAAUUUAAUGGGAGGGCUUAAAAAAGUUUACAGCCUUCUUGAAGCAGAAAAAAAUGAAAAUCCGGAUAAUUUCAAGACAAGAACAAAUCUAGUAUUGAUUUUGCUACAUGGUCAAAGCAAACCCUUUCCCCAGGAGGAAACAACUGUACUGGAGAUGAUAGCUCAACAUCAACUCAAGCAGAAUAACAGAGCUCAACAUUUUAUUUACACCCUUGGCAAGCCUGCGGACAAUGAGACAUUGGACAGGCUUGCUCAAGUAGCUGACCAGAAUAACCUGAAACUGGAGAAAUCAAGUGGUGUCAAAGUACAAGCCUGGCCUCAGAUUCCAGGGCUAGUGACAAACCAGUCUGUUGGACCAGAGGGAGUUCUUGUUUCUGUCGACAAUGGGGCAGAUUUUAUAUCUGCUGUAGGAGAGUAUUUUCAGAGGUUGCCAUCCCAGGUAGACAAGGAAUUGACAACCUUAGUGCCCAUUUUGGAUGAUAAGUAUGGUCUUGGUUUGACAGUGGCUGUACCAGUUUACAAUGGGACCCAGCCAAUUGGAGUAGUAGCAGCCGAUGGUUCCAUAGCAACUAUUUUCUCAGAAAUAGUUAAUUUUAAAACAGGAAUCAACAGUUACAUGUACAUGGUGGACAGUACGCAUGGACAUGUUCUGCUUCAUCCCAAACUGCGAGAUCCAGCGGAAACCAGAUAUAAAGAUACAAUAUUUCCUAGAUUGGAUCUUCUAGAGCCUGACCUAUCAGUGGAACAGAGAAAUAAAAUACUUACAGCUAGCACAAGCAAUGUUGUGAGCUUUUCAGUACAGGUGACAGAUAUCCAGCCAGAAAUUGAUGGUGAGCUGGUACCAAACAGAUUGUCUAGUUUGAGCCAGGCCACUGUGUAUUGUCAACAGAUUAGUGGAACCAGACUGGUUAUUGCACUUGUGCACUAUGAAAGUGAUGAUGAGGAACCAAAAUUUCACAAACUUAAUCAGCUUUCUCUACAUGGUAUUUACCAUCGCUUGGACAAAUUGUUUGGUGCCCCUGAUUUUCCAGGAAAGGACUCCAUCUGUCACCUGCAUAAUGGGCAUUUCUUAUCAUUUAAACAGUCUGUUAUAAAGUUUGCACCAAGUCUAUUCAGUGAACCAGAGCUGUACAAAUACUCAGAUGAGACCCUGAAUGCAGUGGUGAAACUUAACAGGUUUCUCACAGAUGGCAAUUACACAGAUAUACUCAAUCCUGGUUUGACGGCUAUUGUUCUUCACACAUUGGCUGCAACAGACAAAUUGGAUUCAUUAUGGACUGGCAGUGCUAAUCAAGUCAUUGAAAGGUUCUAUGGGUCCACUGAUGGUGUGUUUAGAAUGUAUCCAGGUUCACCUUUGGUUAACACAUUUGAUCACAGAGAGACAGACUGGUACAAAAGAAGUGUAGCAUUUCCAAAGACAACAAUGUAUCACUAUGGGAAGUUAAGCAUUCGAAACACAAACAAUGUCAUAAUAAUCAGCAGGGCAAUCGGUAUGAAGCGCCUGCAAGGGGUGGUUGGAAUGACAGUUACUCCAAGAUUUCUACUGUCACAGCUUCUUAACACUGUCAAGGACUGUUCUGGGAAUGACCUUAAAUGUCAUGUUGUUGACAGCACAGGGAGAAUAUUUGAUGCACUUAAUCCUGGCUCAGAAGGACAGUUAACAAAGAUGUAUCCAUGGUUAACAGCAGAACUAGUUACCAGGAGAAAAAUACAGCAAGAAUGGUGUACAGGAUUUUCAGAUGGCUUUCAUAAAAUGAUCCUGACUUUGACAGAAGAUGUGACCUCUGACACUACUGACCCAUGUCUGCAGUUCAGUCUUCACAAGGUCAAGGAUACAAACUUAUUUGUAUUGGUUCUUGGAAGCCGAGAAAAACUCAAAUGUGUGGAGUCUAAUUAUAAGAUAUGUUCAAGUUGCCAAACCUCCAACUUUAAUCCAGUAUAUCAACUGUCAAUCCCAAAGUGUAGAUACUGUCACGUGAACGAGACGAUGACAAGGUGCCAGUGCCAGUGUUACUGUGAUACAGACUUGAAUACAUGUCAUGGACAGUUCAACAUACAUCUACACAACUUUCCUACUCGUUCUUGCUUCUAUACCCCAACCUAUAAGACAGAAUUCAUACCAGAUGCUCCCGGACCAGGCAGCAAUCUUGAUAGAUGUCCAAUACCUUGUGUUGCCAUUAUAUGAUGAAAAGUAGAACUGCCAUUUACACACAGGGAAUAAAGAUUUUUGAACUUAAAUUGACAUAGAAGGUUUUUGAAGAGCAACAAGAACAUAGUCAUUAGCAGAUUUGGAUGUGUGCAGUGGACUAGCACACUGUAAAGUCAGCUCCAAUUUUUACCCUACCUGUAUCUGGAAAGAUGAAGAUGAAUUGAAGA
rnacentral:misc_RNA from 1 species